rnacentral:lncRNA from 1 species
AGCAAACCACACGGGAGAGGAGAGCAUUUGGAUUCCUUCUAUGAUUUCCACUAUUUGGUUGGCAACAUUGGAUGGGAAGUCAAAUUCUGAUGGAAAUCCAGUUUCUGUAAGCUAGAGGAAUUCGGUCUUCUCUCGCAAGAGUGAGGAAAUCUAAAUUCCACACAACCAAAAGACUUAAAUUCUCAAUUUUACCCUUGAUUAUAUUUUUUUAUUCCCAAUUCUACUCUUUCACAAAUAACCCUAAUUUGCAAAUUAUUCUAUGAUUUCACAACUCUCAUAACUCAAAAUCAAAUCAAAUCAUCUCAGAAACAAAAAUUAAAAUCUCUUUGAACUUCCGAUAGUGAGCCUCAUCUGUUAGCCGGUGAGCUAUGACAGCGGGUCUGUUUGCCAGAGCUAUCUUAGCAAGUAUCAACGCUUUAGCUUCAUGGUUUCUCACCCUAGGUACGAUUUUUCAUCUCUUUUCAUAUGUUUUAGUGUUGUCACUUUUAUCGUUUUGAUGGUAUUGUUAAUUUGUUAUUGUUAGUUGUUGUAAUUAUUCUUGUGUGGCUAUUGUGGUUAUUUAAUGAGUUUAGCUCAUGAGAUGAUGGAGAAUGAGUUUGAAGAGGGCUAUUUUAGAUUUUGUUGCUUUAAUUUGAACAAAUUUUGAAAUUUCAGAUGUUGCAUUUUGUUUGAUUAAGUUAUUAUGAGGCUUUGAUUAAGAUUUUGUUACUUUAUAUUGUGAAUGGAUGAAUUUAUAGAUAUAUGCCUACCAAGUGUUUGAUGAACUGUCUAAGAAAAAAAAUGUUAAUUUUGCCCCAGAAAUUAUGAUUGCAUCUAGAAGCAUAUUUCCAAUCCGUAGUUGACUUUACAUUAAGAAAAAAUUAUCCUAAUUAUUCGGCUAAGGUAUUUUUGUGGGUGGAUUUUUAGCAAAUAUAGCUUCCACCUUCAUGUGUAAACCACAAAAAAAAAAAUAUAUAUCUUAUUGGAUUGUACUUUAUUAAUGCGAUAACAAGGCACAAGAUGAAGUGUGACUAGUGAUUUUUUGAAGGAAAUGGAUGGCUAGUAAAAUUUACAAUUAUUCUUAGGAGCUAGUCCUUUCGAUUUUGGACUUGCUGCAAAUUAAUAGAAAUAAACAUCAUGUAAUGGUUGAGAAAUUGCAAUUAUUCCUUUGUUUGUGUUCAAAAAAUUUUAUAUAGAGCUUUCCAAGUUAAUUUCAAUUUUCAUUAGAUAGUUUGCUGCUUUGUAACCUGUUACUUUGCUGUUGUUGUUAUUUAAUUAAUUAAUUGCUACAAGAAACAUUUUGUGAGAUGUUUUUAUUUUGUAUAUGCUGAAGUUAAUGAAGAAGGUUCAGUAAAUUGUUUGAAGUUUCAAAAUAACAUGAAUUUAAUGUUCUGAUAAAUUAUCUUCUCCACAAUACUUAUUAUUAAUGUGUUUUUCUAAUCUAUCUGCUGUUGUUUGGUUUUACUGUUUGAUGUUGUUAUACUUGCUGGUUACUGCUGUUUUUGCUAUUAUUCUUGCUAGUUUUUACUUUUUUUGCUGUUUUUACUGUUAUACCUGUUGGUUACUACUUUUUUGUUGUUUUCAUUGUUUUACUUGUUGUUUUUAUUAUUAUACCUGUUGAUUACUACUCUUCUUUGCUGUUUUUGCUAUUCUACUUGUUGUUUUUUAUCGUUAUACUUGCUUAUUACUACUUUUUUUAUUCUUUUUACUAUUUUACUUGCUAUUUUUACUGUUAUACUUGCUUAUUGUUUUGGUGUUUUACUUGCUAUUUUUACCGUUAAACUUGUUGGUUACUACUUUUGUUAUUGUUUUACUUGCUGUCUUUACCAUUAUACUUGCCAGUUAUAACUUUUUUUUCUAUUUUUUUACUGUUUUAGCUGCUGUUUUACUUGCUAUUUUUGGUAUUUCAGCCAUCGUUUCACUUGUCAUUUGCUGUUUUUACUGUUUGCUGCUGUUAUGCUUGCUAUUUUUCUUGCUGGUUACUAUUGUUUUUACUAUUUUACUCGUUGUUCUUGCUUUUUUACAGCUGUUGUACUUAAUUGAAUGCAAUUAAGCUUGCUUAAUUGAGUGAAGAGUUGAAGAAGAUUAGUGGUCUUACAACGGUAGAACAACUUAAAGCCACCACCCAAAUUGCUUGUGAUAGUGUAGCGCUUAAUGUUUUCUAUAGUCUUUGUGAUGAGGAUCGAGAAACAUGGGUUAAAUUUUUCCUUAAUAGGGAAAUUUAACUCAUGCUUGGAUUAAGCUAAAAAAUGCAAUCUGUUUUGCUACAUGAUUUCUUAUUAAUCGUAAAAUGGCCAAAAUACUCUUGAAAUACAUAAAAUACUCAGAUUAUAACAAACACACAAAAUCAAAGUUUAAAAGGCUUAAAUACAUAAAAAUAGAAAUGUUAGUGAGACUUGGAGCGCAAAAUAACAAUUUUAUCCUUUACAAAUAUGCAGCACUCAACACCUUGCCAAUAAGAUCUCUUUGCUUUAGUCUAACUAUAAAUGUAAUUAACAAUUCAAAUUAAUUCCUUAUAUUAGUUCAAUCUUGAGAUUUAAGCCUUAAGAUUUAUAAAUCAAUUUCAAAUUAAUAGAAUAAUCAACCAUUCAAAUGAACCUCCAAUUAAUUUAAGAUUUAAUAAUUAAAACCUAACACUAACCUGUUGCUUGAUGAUGAGGCGAUGAAGGCAGCACAGUUGUGGUGAAGUUGUGCUUGUGGUGUCGCAUGAUGCAGACAAGGGGGAUCAGUGGCUAUGGAUUGUGGUGUUGCACAACAAUGUUAAGGCGUAACAAUGAUGGACUUGGUGUGGUUUUGAGCAAUUAUGAUAAGCUAGGUAAUGGCGUCGUGAUGGAGGAAGGGAAGAUUAAGUAUUUUUUUUGGUGGUUGGAUCUUGCAUUUGAUGAAAAGAAAUAAAAGAUUUAAUUUAAUUUUAACUUUUAUAUUUUGAUCAUGCGUAAACUCGAGCCCCUCACAAGUUUGUUAAUGUGUGAUUUGUAGCAUUACAACCGUAAUAUUAUAGUUUCAUUUUUUCACCAACCAUAUUAUCGUAUUAGUCCAAUGCUAUACAGUGUAAAAGUGGACAUUGGGUCAUUUUUGGAAAAAUUUCAGUUCAGUGUCCAUUGUUAAAGAACUAAAAAAAAAGUACUGAAUCGAAGUCAAUGUAUUUAAUUUAUCGAUUCAGUUUUCAAUUCUGAACCUUAUCCCUUUCAGAUUUCAUUAUGCUUUUCAUAAUUUUGCUAUAGCAAGUCAGGAACAAUAAAAAUCAAAUAUCAAAGCAAAUUUUUACAACACCAAAGCUUAACAGCAAGUCAAUAUAAACCAAAAAGGAAACGCAAAGAAAGGUGGACGAGGAAAUCAUGAAGCAACAAUGAACGAAGAGCACAAUUGCAAACAUGAUGGCAGAGGCAGGGGCUGGUGUGGUGUUCGCUGAUGAUAUAUUAUAGUUAGUGGGUUAAACUUUUGAGAUUGAGAUUUGUUAGGCUUUAGAGUUUGUAAUAGAAAAGUGAAUAUGAGGAUUUGAUUUUGGGAACUAGGGGUUUAUAUAAGAGAAGUGAUUUGUGAGGAUUUUGAUUUUGGGGGCUAUGGUUGGUGAUUUCAUUUGUAAGGGUGUAAAGGAUUUGACUUGGGGCUACAAUUUGUGUGUAGAGAAAAUGAAAAAUGAAAAGUUUUCAUUAUUGUUAUGGUGUGUGCAUGUUUAUGGUAGUAACAUGUUGUCACAUGUUAAAAAAUGUCAUAUGACAUUUCUAAAAAAAGUUGAUUUAUCCGGAUUUUCAGUUUAGUUUUAGGAUUUAAAAUUUAGAACAAAAAAUGAAACCAAAACAUUCAGUUAUAAUUUGAAUUGAACCUUCCAAUUUUUUUUUAAUAGUAAGAAAAAGUACUAAAUUAGAACCAAGAAAACUAAGCUGACCAAUGAUUUUUUUCAGUUCUGCUUUAGUUUUCCUUAGCCUCAAUGUAGGGUCCCAAUGCUGAGUAAUGAUGUGUCAAACUCACUCUAAAUACAUAAAAUUUAUGCAUGAGAUUGGAGAAUGGCCAUUAGAGGAUCCCAAUAGUAGCAAAAAGCAAUUUUUCUAAUAGUGUAACUUUUUGGAUGAAGAUUUGUGAGGCUAAGGAUAUGAUGGUGCUAAUAAUAUGCAAGUAGCAUGGAGUUGAUUUUAAUGGUGCAUUUACUAAACGAAAUUGAAAUGGGUAGGAAUCAAAAUGAGGAAUGAGAAUCAGAAUAAAUUGUUUAUUUUAACUGUAGGAAUCAGAAUCGAAAUGAGUUGUAUUGUCAUUGAUGUGUUUAAUUUGUCUUGGAAUUGGAAUAAUAAUGAGUUAGAUUGAUAUAGAUUGCUAAAAGGUCCUUAAUUAACUACUGUCCUAAUAAUUAUUAUUAACAUUAAAAUGAAUUAAUUAAUUAUCACUAAUAAUAAUAAUAAUAAUAAUAAUAAUAAUAAUAAUAAUAAUAAUAAUAAUCAUCAUCAUCAUCAUCAAAAUGAACAUAAUCAUCAUAAACAAUAUCAUCAUUGGCAUCAUCAUCAUCGUUGCAG